CCCCCGCUGGCGUGGGAGGGGAAGCGCAGGGGUGCCGGGGUGCCCGUGGGGUAGCGGUGCCCCCGGGCGCUGUUCGGGCUUCGCAGGGAACGGUGUCGUCCUCUCGCCCAAGACAAAAUUGCCUAAACCCAAGAAUUAAUAAAUAAUGGUGUUGGAGCUGCGGGGUUCCGGAGGCGGCCUCCGUGCCUGUUCGGCUCGUGUCAGGUUCGUCAGGCAGCGGGCCCGUGUCGCAGCGCAGCCCCUGGCCGAGAACGCUGGCGAGCGCUGGUUUAUUUUGGAGAAAUUAAACUGUGACGGUGGCUGAAAAUGAAUGGUUCCUGAGAGUCAUGUUUUUUUCUUUGUCGGUCGGAUUGUGAAGAGGUCACUUGCUCACAUGAAAUGAAAAUGAUUUAGGACAUAGGUCACUGGAAAGUACCCAUGGAAUGAUUUUGACUGGAGAAAAAAGCAAAUCACAAUCAAAAUGAAAAAUACUAUCAACUUUGUUGUAAAAUAAUGUUUCUAUAUACAUUGGAACUGAUUACUCUUAAAAUUUUGUGACGGCUAAUGGGUUUAGAAGUAAUGCAAAUUGUCUAUUUUUUUUUUCACAGCCACAGUAGCAUUCCUCUUAGCUAAUUGUUGAAGAAAUUAGAAUUUUUCUUGUUAGAAGAAAUACUUGUCAUUCAAAUUCCUGCUCCCUGCCCUGUUUUGACUUGAUACCUUUCUUGAUUGUAUGUGUAAAAUAGUGGCACCAGAAAAAGCUCACGUAAGCGAUGAAAUUACAGAAAAGCUUAGCUGUAAUAAACUAACUUCUUAAUCUUAAAAUUGCAAUAAAAUAGUUCAUUGUUAGUUGUUUGAA